rnacentral:rRNA from 1 species
GACGAACGCUGGCGGCGUGCUUAACACAUGCAAGUCGAACGGAAAGGCCCGGCUUUUGUGGGGUGCUCGAGUGGCGAACGGGUGAGUAACACGUGAGUAACCUGCCCUUGACUGUGGGAUAACUUCAGGAAACUGGGGCUAAUACCGGAUAGGAGCUCCUGCUGCAUGGUGGGGGUUGGAAAGUUUCGGCGGUUGGGGAUGGACUCGCGGCUUAUCAGCUUGUUGGUGGGGUAGUGGCGUACCAAGGCUUUGACGGGUAGCCGGCCUGAGAGGGUGACCGGCCACAUUGGGCCUGGGAUACGGCCCAGACUCCUACGGGACGCAGCGGUGGGGAAUAUUGCACAAUGGGCGGAAGCCUGAUGCAGCAACGCCGCGUCCGGGAUGACGGCCUUCGGUUUGUAAACCGCUUUCGCCUGUGCCGAAGCGUGAGUGACGGUACUGGGUAAAGAAGCACCGGCUAACUCCGUG